GACGAACGCUGGCGGCGUGCUUAACACAUGCAAGUCGAACGAGAAUCUGCUGAAGGAGGAUUCGUCCAACGGAAGCAGAGGAAAGUGGCGGACGGGUGAGUAACGCGUGAGGAACCUGCCUUGAAGAGGGGACGAACAGUUGGAACGACUGCUAAUACCGCAUGACGCAUAGAGGUCGCAUGAUCUUUAUGCCAAAGAUUUAUCGCUUCAAGAUGGCCUCGCGUCUGAUUAGCUGGUUGGCGGGGUAACGGCCCACCAAGGCGACGAUCAGUAGCCGGACUGAGAGGUUGAACGGCCACAUUGGGACUGAGAUACGGCCCAGACUCCUACGGGAGGCUG
rnacentral:rRNA from 1 species